rnacentral:rRNA from 1 species
CAGUAGCCGCGGUAAUACAGAGGGUGCGAGCGUUAAUCGGAAUUACUGGGCGUAAAGCGCGCGUAGACGGUUUUGUAAGUCAGAUGUGAAAUCCCUGGGCUCAACCUGGGAACUGCACUUGAGACUGCAUGGCUAGAGUAUCGAAGAGGGAAGUGGAAUUUCCAGUGUAGCGGUGAAAUGCGUAGAUAUUGGAAGGGACACCAGUGGCGAAAGCGACUUCCUGGUCGAAUACUGACGCUCAUGCGCGAAAGCGUGGGGAGCAAACAGGAUUAGAGACCCCAGUAGUCCCUGUCUCUUAUAC